UACAGAGGGUGCGAGCGUUAAUCGGAAUUACUGGGCGUAAAGCGUGCGUAGACGGUAGCGUAAGUCAGAUGUGAAAGCCCCGGGCUCAACCUGGGAAUUGCAUUUGAGACUGCUCUGCUCGGGUGCGGAAGAGGAGAGUGGAAUUCCCGGUGUAGCGGUGAAAUGCGCAGAUAUCGGGAAGAACACCCGUGGCGAAGGCGGCUCUCUGGGACGGUACUGACGCUGAGACGCGAAAGCGUGGGGAGCGAACAGG
rnacentral:rRNA from 1 species